UGCACGGUUUCAAACGAAUGUUAUAUAGUAAGACUUUUGUCAUACGCACGCACAUAAGAAUAAGACAAGUAGUCAUAUGAAUAGAGAAUAGUAUGUAGUAUAUGUGAUACUAAUUGUUGUUAACGAUAGGUUCUAAGUUCCGACAAUGAGGUCCCAAGUUGUCUCCUCCUUAUCCAAAUUCUCAAGUAUAUUCCAAUGUAAAUUU